CCUGCUUUUGUGGGGUGCUCGAGUGGCGAACGGGUGAGUAACACGUGAGUAACCUGCCCUUGACUUUGGGAUAACUUCAGGAAACUGGGGCUAAUACCGGAUAGGAGCUCCUGCUGCAUGGUGGGGGUUGGAAAGUUUCGGCGGUUGGGGAUGGACUCGCGGCUUAUCAGCUUGUUGGUGGGGUAGUGGCUUACCAAGGCUUUGACGGGUAGCCGGCCUGAGAGGGUGACCGGCCACAUUGGGACUGAGAUACGGCCCAGACUCCUACGGGAGGCAGCAGUGGGGAAUAUUGCACAAUGGGCGGAAGCCUGAUGCAGCAACGCCGCGUGCGGGAUGACGGCCUUCGGGUUGUAAACCGCUUUCGCCUGUGACGAAGCGUGAGUGACGGUAAUGGGUAAAGAAGCACCGGCUAACUACGUGCCAGCAGCCGCGGUGAUACGUAGGGUGCGAGCGUUGUCCGGAUUUAUUGGGCGUAAAGGGCUCGUAGGUGGUUGAUCGCGUCGGAAGUGUAAUCUUGGGGCUUAACCCUGAGCGUGCUUUCGAUACGGGUUGACUUGAGGAAGGUAGGGGAGAAUGGAAUUCCUGGUGGAGCGGUGGAAUGCGCAGAUAUCAGGAGGAACACCAGUGGCGAAGGCGGUUCUCUGGGCCUUUCCUGACGCUGAGGAGCGAAAGCGUGGGGAGCGAACAGGCUUAGAUACCCUGGUAGUCCACGCUGUAAACGGUGGGUACUAGGUGUGGGGUCCAUUCCACGGGUUCCGUGCCGUAGCUAACGCUUUAAGUACCCCGCCUGGGGAGUACGGCCGCAAGGCUAAAACUCAAAUGAAUUG
rnacentral:rRNA from 1 species